rnacentral:tRNA from 1 species
GCCUGGGUGGCUCAGUGGUUGAGUAUCUGCCUUCGGCCCAGGGCGUGACCCCGAGGUCGUGGGAUCGAGUCCCACAUCGGGUU